CCGGUUCAUUUAUUUAAUUAAUAGUCUAAAAUUGUUCACACAAAAAAAAAACAGCAAAAUGGAUUCAUCACAGAAUGCUAGCUUCCAAGAUGGACAGACCACUGGCCAGGCUAAGGAGAAGGGAAACCAGGUGAUGGACAAAGUUAGCAAUACUGCCCAGUCUGCAAAGGACUCCUGUCAAGAGACUGGUCAGCAAAUGAAGGCUAAAGCAUAGGGAAUGGC